rnacentral:rRNA from 1 species
UACGUAGGGGGCAAGCGUUGUCCGGAAUCAUUGGGCGUAAAGCGCGCGUAGGCGGCCCGGUAAGUCCGCUCUGAAAGUCCAAGGCUCAACCUUGGAAUGCGGGUGGAUACUGCCGGGCUAGAGUCCGGAAGAGGCGAGUGGAAUUCCUGGUGUAGCGGUGGAAUGCGCAGAUAUCAGGAGGAACACCAAUAGCGAAGGCAGCUCGCUGGGACGGUACUGACGCUAAGGCGCGAAAGCUAGGGGAGCGAACAGG